rnacentral:rRNA from 1 species
CCUACGGGUGGCAGCAGUGAGGAAUAUUGGUCAAUGGACGAGAGUCUGAACCAGCCAAGUAGCGUGAAGGAUGACUGCCCUAUGGGUUGUAAACUUCUUUUAUAAAGGAAUAAAACGAGGCACGUGUGCCUUUUUGCAUGUACUUUAUGAAUAAGGAUCGGCUAACUCCGUGCCAGCAGCCGCGGUAAUACGGAGGAUCCGAGCGUUAUCCGGAUUUAUUGGGUUUAAAGGGAGCGUAGAUGGGUUGUUAAGUCAGUUGUGAAAGUUUGCGGCUCAACCGUAAAAUUGCAAUUGAUACUGGCAGUCGUGAGUACAGUUGAGGUAGGCGGAAUUCGUGGUGUAGCGGUGAAAUGCUUAGAUAUCACGAAGAACUCCGAUUGCGAAGGCAGCUUACUAAACUGCCACUGACAUUGAUGCUCGAAAGUGUGGGUAUCAAACAGGAUUAGAGACCCGGGUAGUC